GGGGAUGUGGUUCAAUGGUAGAACUCUUGUCCAGCAUGCAUGAAGCCCUGGGUUCAAUCCCAGCACUGCAA
rnacentral:tRNA from 1 species